UAUUAAAAAUUUCAUCCAAUCCAAUUGUUAAAAACUGACGUAGUUGAUAAAAUAAUUAGACAUUUUACAUAUGAUCUCUUACAUGUACCUUAUUCUGAUGUAUAAAAAUUAGUUUUUAAUAGUAGAAAUGAAUAAAAUUUUUAACA
rfam:Gossypium raimondii Chr01_contig_1212, whole genome shotgun sequence.